GGAGGGAGCAAGCGUUGUUCGGAAUUACUGGGCGUAAAGGGCGCGCAGGCGGCUGGGUCAGUCUCGUGUGAAAUCCCUCGGCUCAACUGAGGAACUGCACGGGAUACUGCCCGGCUUGAGUUCGGGAGAGGGAAGCGGAAUUCCGGGUGUAGCGGUGAAAUGCGCAGAUAUCCGGAGGAACACCAGUGGCGAAGGCGGUUUCCUGGACCGAAACUGACGCUGAGGCGCGAAAGCUAGGGGAGCAAACGGGGGAUUAGAUACCCCGGUAGUCCUAGCCGUAAACGAUGAGUGCUGGGUGUAGGGGGUAUUGACCCCCCCCUGUGCCGAAGCUAACGCAUUAAGCACUCCGCCUGGGGGAGUACGGUCGCAAGGCUG
rnacentral:rRNA from 1 species